GAUUGAUUGGCUGAUAAGAUUCUUAGAUUUUGUUAGGUUGAUGAUAUCAACAAGCUAUACACAGUGCCUUUCAAAUACUUUUCGUUUUGAUUAUGGCCUUGAACAAAUCGCUAAAUU